UUUGGAGUAGCCACGGGCAAGGAGAAUGAGAAAGCAUUUGGAGUAGCCAGAAUAGAAGCCGUGGCUUGGAGCCAAACUCUGAUUUCAGGGGGAGCAGACCUCAGGGCUACAUACAGUGACGGAGAGGAUGGGGUCCUUGGUUCUGCAAGAGUACAAGAGGGGUGUGUACAGGCCAGUUGCCCUGGUUGGACUCACUGGCUCUAGGGACCAACACCUGCCACUGGAGCUGCUCUUGUUCUGUUCCUUCUUUAUUGUUAUAUCUACCAGAACCUACAAAACUGGCAGGUGAACUUGUUGGCUUGCGACUCUGGUAAAAUCUUAGACUCUUCACAGCUUUUGACAAUUGGAAGCAGAUUAUUUUGCUGAAGAUAAU